rnacentral:rRNA from 1 species
CGAAUGGGGGCAACCCUGAUCCAGCCAUGCCGCGUGGGUGAUGAAGGCCUUAGGGUUGUAAAUCCCUUUCACUGGCGAAGAUGAUGACGGUAGCCGGAGAAGAAGCCCCGGCUAACUCCGUGCCAGCAGCCGCGGUAAUACGGAGGGGGCAAGCGUUGUUCGGAAUUACUGGGCGUAAAGGGCGCGUAGGCGGCCGGUCGCGUCAGGUGUGAAAGCCCCGGGCUCAACCUGGGAGGUGCACUUGAUACGGGCUGGCUGGAGGCCGAGAGAGGUGAGUGGAAUUCCCAGUGUAGAGGUGAAAUUCGUAGAUAUUGGGAAGAACACCAGUGGCGAAGGCGGCUCACUGGCUCGGUCCUGACGCUGAGGCGCGAAAGCGUGGGGAGCAAACAGGAUUAGAUACCCUGGUAGUCCACGCCGUAAACGAUGUGCGCUAGCCGUCGGGGUGCUUGCACUUCGGUGGCGCAGCUAACGCAUUAAGCGCACCGCCUGGGGAGUACGGCCGCAAGGUUA